rnacentral:lncRNA from 1 species
GAAAAAUUUCAGUAGCAUAGGCCAGUUAGAAAGAGGAGCAUGUCACAAGCUUAUGCCAAUGGAAGCAUUUGCAUAUACAGAAGUAAUUGCCUUUGAUACACAAGCUUAUUCCAUAGGCAAAUUUCUAAUAGUUAUGCUUCUGAUAUGUGGCUUCAUUAUGUUAUUUAGAUCUUUUUACAUCAUGUACGUUGUGUGAUUAUAUCAUGAAAAAUUUAUGUUAUAAAUUUGUGUAAUAAGAAAAAUAUUUAGCUUCUGGAUUGGAGUCAAAUUAGCAGUUUACAUGUUUAAAAUUUCUGCAUUUGCUUAGAUCAGAUGAUGAUGCUGAUUCUAUGAAUGUGUUGGAGUUUAGUGUUAUAUUUGACUAUUGAGUUUGAUUAUCAUGUUUAUCAAGUUUGAUUAUAUUCAGGAUCAGUGCUAUAUUUGACUACUGAGUUUGAUUAUACAUGUUUACUGAGUUUGUUUAUACUCAGGUUCAGUGCUUGACUACUAAUUUGUCUUGUUCAUUCAUAGAAAAUUGAGAGCAUUUUUAUACCUGAUUUGAUUUUAUUAAAUUUUUUAUUAUCUAUAUUU